UGGGAUAGUUUAGUCGGCAGAGCAUGAAACUCUUAAUUUCAGGGUUGUGGGUGUGAGCCCCAUGUUAGACCAA
rnacentral:tRNA from 1 species